GCCUGCGUCUGCGUGCCUGCGUGUGUGUGCGUACCUGCGUGUGUGUGCGUACCUGCGUGUGUGUACCUGCGUUUUUUUUUGUGUGCGUCUGCGUGCCUACGUCUGCGUGCCUGCGUAUGCGUACCUGCGUGUGCGUACCUGCGUGUGUGUACCUGCAGUUUUUUUUGUGUGCGUCUGCGUGCCUGCGUGUGUGUGCUUACCUGCGUGUGCGUACCUGCGUGUGUGUACCUGCGUGUACAUGCAUUUGGGUAGAAAAUAAUUGAGAGUCUGCCUGUCUGUCUAUGUGUGUGUGUGUGCACCUGCAUUACAUCCGUUUUUCAGACCAAAUGUUGAAUAAAAUGUCAAAUUUGAAGGCACGAGUCCUCCACUCACCGUGAAACUGCUCUUAGGUCUAGUGAGACGCGUGUUCCACGGGCUGGUACAUCUUUCUCUAGUCCUAAGACAGAUAGGCAAUGUUUUUUCUGUCAGAGGACUGACCAUUUAGUUGCCGACUGCAAUGCGUGGAAACGUAGGCAGCAGACGGCAACUUCAAAUUCUGAUGGUCCUGAUUCUGUGUAGUGUGCUUUAGCGGGGAUCGUGCUUAAUGGAGCAAACUUAGUUUGCACUUAUGGGAGGGGGUGUUACGUGUGUGUGUUUUUCCUCUGCUGUUUUGUGUGCUGUUCCAGGUACCACCCUCCCCAUCGGACUGAUCAGACACACCUGCAGCCCCUCAGCAAUCACGUGGAUUGCUAUAAAGCUGCAGGGAUGAAAGCAGACGUGGCCAGUGGGCCAGAUAGGCGAACAGAGUGUGGUCGCUGUCGGUCGCGAGUCGGAGCUACGUGGGCUCUUCGUCGUGGCAUUGCUCCCUCAGUGGAGGGAUAGUGUUGUUGGCAUUGCUCCCUCAGUGGAGGGAUAGUGUUGUUGGUUGCUCCCUCAGUGGAGGGAUAGUGUUAUUGGUUAUUUUCUGUGUUCAAAUAAGACUCAUUUAUGCAAUAAAUGGUAUAUUGGUUGAAACCCUGCUACUCUCGUCUGUCCUUUAAACACCCGGUUUUAUAUUAAUUCUUGCCCCCCCCUUCCCCCUGGACACCAACGGGGUGGGUCGUAGCAGUUAUCCAAACCUCAUAUGUUGCUGUGAAUUUUACUGAUAACUUAUGCAUUGAUCUGUAGGUAUUCAAAGCCAUGCACCUGAAAUCAAUUGGAUAUACCACAUUCAGAAGGCAUGCACAGACUUAUUUGGAGCCAGCAGUGAUCCACAAAUGGCAUCAGUUUCAGGAAGAAGAAUUGCAGUUUCUGAGCCAGAGAAAGGUUAAAAUUGGCGGAGAUAUGAGGGCAGACUCACCAGGGAAACUUCCUCAAUUAAUUUCAAUACAGUCGGUAUUACUACUAUGAAGUUCCACACAAAAUAGCACGCUCAUAAACAUGUUCAAAAGCAGUGUGCUCAUGACAUCAUUUCGAUAUUUGCAGUUCAUUGCGCAAAGUAUGGCAGCUAUUCCUUGAUGAACCUGGAGAACAACAACAUUAUUGACGUUCAACUUGUCCAGAGCAAUGAGGUUGGAGGUAGUCACAAUAUGGAGAAGGAGGGUCUGAAAAGAAGCCUUGAACUUCUGGAGUCGAAGGGUGUGGCAGUGGACUACAUUGUCACUGACCGCCAUCCCCAGUCUGGUUUCUUCGGGAUCGCAAUCUGAAGCACAUAACGUCUGGCACCUUGCAAAGGGUCUGUCUAAGAAAUUGGACAAGGUGUCGAAAGAGAAGGACUGUGACAUUGUUAUGAGGUGGCGACGUGGCAUCAGCAACCAUGUCUACUGGGCAGUGGGCAGCAACAUCAUCAUCCACCGUGGCUGAAAAGGUGGCUAAAUGGACCUCAUUAAUUAACCACAUUCAGAACAUACACAGCCACGACAACCCAGCUUUCCCCAAAUGCCUCCACCCUGUUCGCCGAACAAGAGAUCGUAAAAAGUGGUUUCAGCCAGGCACCAAAGCCCUCUAUAAAGUGGAAAAAAUCCUUACAAAAAAGAGGGUCCUGACUGACGUGGAAAAGCUGAGCUCAAAGUACCAGACCUCAACACUGGAAGCCUUCCAGUGUUAUUUUGUGUUUUACACCAAAAAAUAUGGUUUUCCCUUUUAUUGGGAUGUUGUGCAGACUGUACCUGGCAGCCAUGCAUUUUAAUGAGAAUGCUGGCUGUUCCCAAGCGAAGACAAACUCAGGAAGACUGAGGUACAAACUCAGUUUCCCAAAAGCAAAAAAAGGAGCGGCUACGGUGAAAGCAGUAAAAACACAACCAAGUUGCUAUACCCUCAGCCUGAUGCAUCUCCUCUUUGAAGAGGUAGUCCCUAACCCUACUUGGAGGAAAGUCAGAAGAUUCCUGUGCCCAGUUCCCCAUCGUCCCAACACGAACGUCCACCCUUAGAAGACGCUAUUGCGGACUAUGUAUCUCGCUUUAGAGUGGAGGAGGUUUAAAUCACACAUAUUGGCCUUCCGCUUCAGGGAACUCCCUGCGUAUGUGUUGGACCACACAAGAGGGGAUGACGACACGUAUCUUCCUGCCAAGAUAUCCCCAGCACCAGCUGACAAAUGACCUGUAGGCCAAGUACCUGCAACGGCUGUCAAAAAGCGGAGGACAUUGUUGUUUAUGUAUAUAUGGCCAAGGCUGAACUGUAUAUAGUGUGUGAGUUAUGUUUUGUCACGUGUAAAUAGAAAAGAAAUGAUCAUUAUUUGUAUUGUUAUUAUAUGUAGGUACAGCUCCAUCACUUUGACUUUCACUAUACAAAAUAGUGUAUGAGCUUGGUAGACAUGUUUGAAUAUGCUGAUGUGCCGUAGUGUAGACAUUUUUUCAUCUCACUUACUCAUUGCCUCUAACUUGCGGGUUCCCAUAAUCACGUUGAUAAAUGUUCAGGGCAUUUUGCUGGGAAUAUCUAUUGAGACAAACUGGAUCUAGUCCUUGGUGGAAGGUCAUGCAUAAUACUGGUGGAUCCUCGUCUUCCAUUAUUCUUACAACCUGUGCAAUCAGAUAUGUUUGAUUAAUAUAAUCUGAUUUUACUGACAGUGUAUAACCAAAAUGAAAUCCGUAUCACCCAUCGUUGCACCGUCCUACCGUUGAUGUCUCCCUACAGCUUACAUUCUCCACCUCUAUCUGCAUUGUAGAGCAAUUCCCACAGGUACACCUGAAGCAAAAGGUAGGCAAUAUGUUUGGCAGCCAUCAAUAAUGAAACACAAAUUAGGCUAUAGGCCUACAUAUUAUAAAAAAAAUCAGUCUGAUUAUAUGAAAAUUAAAAUGCUGUAGGUCUUUGCAAAUGACUAAAUCGGCCUACAACACAUCUUUGAAUGCCAACAUAAAAAAGAAUUAUGACUAUCCUAAGCCUAGGCCUAUUUGAAUAACCUGGUUGCCCUAUAUGUCAGUUAAGUUAGCUCACAUUACCAUUCUGAAACGUCCAUCAUUGUACGUGUUUGUGGUUGUUCUUGGUCUUCUCCUUCCGUCUCAUCUUCCGACUCUGGAUCAAACACGUAGGGCAAAAUUCCUGCCAUGGUUUUAGGCUUGCUGUGCCUCGGUAAGCAUAUGGACAGCUGCUUUCUCUCCCGAUCAGAGCAAAGCGGAAUUUAAAUAUUGAAUAUUCAUGAAAACAGCGGUCCAAUCAGAGCAACGCUCAUUAAUAGAUGGAUAUUCAUGAGAAGAGCAUUCGUCUUUUCUACCAGGCUUUUCAGACAUGCUAGAAUAGUUUGUAAUAAGCUAUCCAAGGCAUUUCCAACACAAACAAGGUUACAAACUCGAUCAAAGGACAUCAAGGAUUAUAAAAAAAUGAAUGAAAUGGGUGUGGCAUGCCGGGAUCUUUAAAUAAAACGCAUCCAGCACGGAAUGUCCACUGGUAACGCCACUGAGGCUACAGUAGGAUAAUGUGCUCUUAGCACCCUACGAGUACCCCUGGAGUCCUCAUAAGCUAUAGCGUUUUCACAACGCUCGUCACCAACAAUGCUUUCGGGAAACGGUGUGGAAACUGUACGAUGCUCGUACGACACACUUCACGAACCACUUAGGCUAACGAUGCUUUCGGGAAACGGGGCCCAGGUCUGCUGUGCUUCCUUUGGAUACAGGUUUUUCUUUUUAUUUACUAUCCAUGUUAAAAAGAAGAAGGAAUAAUGCCUCGCAUUGUACUACAUUUUGUUUUAAAAUAUUUUAGGAUUGUAUUCAUACAUUGGACGGACAUCUUGAUUUAAGUUUUUAUUUUAUGUGGACACAAGCUAUUUCUAUUUUAUUUACUAUCCAUGUUUAAAAGAAGAAGGAAUAAUGCCUAAUUUUGCACUUUAUACUGUUUAAUUUUUUUUAUAAUUUAUACA